UGGGGAAUAUUGGACAAUGGGCGAAAGCCUGAUCCAGCCAUGCCGCGUGUGUGAAGAAGGUCUUCGGAUUGUAAAGCACUUUAAGUUGGGAGGAAGGGCAUUAACCUAAUACGUUAGUGUUUUGACGUUACCGACAGAAUAAGCACCGGCUAACUCUGUGCCAGCAGCCGCGGUAAUACAGAGGGUGCAAGCGUUAAUCGGAAUUACUGGGCGUAAAGCGCGCGUAGGUGGUUUGUUAAGUUGGAUGUGAAAUCCCCGGGCUCAACCUGGGAACUGCAUUCAAAACUGACUGACUAGAGUAUGGUAGAGGGUGGUGGAAUUUCCUGUGUAGCGUUGAAAUGCGUAGAUAUAGGAAGGAACACCAGUGGCGAAGGCGACCACCUGGACUAAUACUGACACUGAGGUGCGAAAGCGUGGGGAGCAAACA
rnacentral:rRNA from 1 species